rnacentral:rRNA from 1 species
UCAAGAGAAUAAGGGCACACGGUGGAUGCCUUGGCGCCAAGAGCCGAUGAAGGACGUGGGCGGCUGCGAUAAGCCUCGGGGAGGUGCUGACCAACCUUUGAUCCGGGGAUCUCCGAAUGAGGAAACUCACGCGUGGUAAUGCGCGCGUACUCCUGCCUGAAUGAAAUAGGGCAGGUAGAGGCAAGCUGGGGAACUGAAACAUCUAAGUACCCAGAGGAAAGGAAAGAAACCUCGACUCCCUGAGUAGUGGCGAGCGAAAGGGGAAGAGCCCAAACCCGGGCGAUGUGAUAGACGGCAGUCGUUGUCGUUCGGGGGUUGUAGGGCCUGUCUUGAUCCGCCUGCCGGCGGGUCGGGAAGUUACAAAGUCGCGUGAUAGCGGAACCGGAUGGAAAGCCGGGCCACAGCGGGUAACAGCCCCGUACGCGAAAUUGCGUGGCCUUCCUCGACAGGUACCUGAGUACGGCCGGGCACGGGAAACCCGGUCGGAACCCGCGGGGACCACCCCGCAAGGCUAAGUACUCCUUGGCGACCGAUAGUGAACUAGUACCGUGAGGGAAAGGUGAAAAGUACCCCGGAAGGGGAGUGAAAUAGCACCUGAAACCGUGUGCUUACAAGCGGUCGGAGCAGGCUUUGUCCUGUGACGGCGUGCCUUUUGCAUAAUGAGCCAGCGAGUUACUCUUCAACGGCGAGGUUAAGGAAACGGAGCCGUAGCGAAAGCGAGUCUGAAUAGGGCGCUCUAGUCGUUGGAGGUAGACCCGAAACUGAGUGAUCUACCCAUGGGCAGGUUGAAGCGAGGGUAAGACCUCGUGGAGGACCGAACACACGUCGGUUGAAAACGGCGGUGAUGACCUGUGGGUCGGAGUGAAAGGCUAAUCAAACUCAGAGAUAUCUGGUUCUCCCCGAAAUAUAUUUAGGUAUAGCGUCACGUGUUCAUUGCCGGUUGUAGAGCACUGUUUGGUCUAGGGGGCCUACCAGCUUACCGAAAUCAGGCAAACUCCGAAUGCCGGCAAUCCAGAGCGUGGCAGUCAGAGUGCGGGGGAUAAGCUUCGUGCUCGAAAGGGAAACAGCCCAGACCGUCGGCUAAGGCCCCUAAUUCCAUGCUAAGUGGGAAACGAUGUCCGAUUGCAGAGACAACCAGGAUGUUGGCUUAGAAGCAGCCACCAUUAAAAGAGUGCGUAACAGCUCACUGGUCAAGUGGUCGGGCGCGGACAAUGUAACGGGGCUCAAGCAUGGAGCCGAAGCCACGGACUUCACGCCUCGCGUGGAGUGGUAGGGGAGCGUUCCCAUGCCGGCGAAGCGGCGGCGGAAGCCAGUCGUGGAGGCAUGGGAAGUGAGAAUGCUGGCAUGAGUAACGAAAGAGGAGUGAAAAACUCCUCCGCCGAAUGCCCAAGGGUUCCUGAGUAAAGCUAAUCUACUCAGGGUUAGUCGGGACCUAAGCCGAGGCCGCAAGGCGUAGGCGAUGGACAACAGGUUGAUAUUCCUGUACCACGUAGCGACCGUUACCACCGAUGGCGGGACGGGGUAGGCUAGGGGAACCCAGGCGAUGGUCGUCCUGGGGUAACCGCGUAGGGCGGGUGAUAGGGAAAUCCGUCACCCAUGGAGCCUGAGACGGGACGCCGAGUCCGUAAGGACGAAGUCCUUGAAGCCAUGCCUCCGAGAAAAGCGUCUAGGGAGGUCGCGCGUGCCCGUACCAAAACCGACACAGGUGGGCAGGUAGAGAAUACCAAGGCGAUCGGAAGAACCCUCGUUAAGGAACUCGGCAAAAUGGUCCCGUAACUUCGGGAGAAGGGACGCCCCGGUAGAGUGGAAUUCCUUCGCGGAAUCGAGCUCGAGGGGGCCGCAGUGAAACGGCCCAAGCGACUGUUUACCAAAAACACAGGUCUCUGCGAAGUCGUAAGACGACGUAUAGGGGCUGACGCCUGCCCGGUGCUGGAAGGUCACGAGGAGAGGUUAGCCUUCGGGCGAAGCUUUGAAUCCAAGCCCCAGUAAACGGCGGCGGUAACUAUAACCGUCCUAAGGUAGCGAAAUUCCUUGUCGGGUAAGUUCCGACCUGCACGAAUGGCGUAACGACUUGGGCGCUGUCUCAACGAGGGAUCCGGUGAAAUUGUAGUCUCGGUGAAGAUGCCGAGUACCCGUGGCUGGACGGAAAGACCCCGUGAACCUUUACUACAGCUUUGCGUUGAAGUUUGGUGUUCGUUGUCCAGGAUAGGUGGGAGACUGUGAAGCGGAGGCGUCAGCUUUCGUGGAGUCAACCUUGGGAUACCACCCUUCGGAUUCUGGGCUUCUAACCCGAUGCCGUGAUCCGGGUCGGGAACAGCGCGAGGUGGGUAGUUUGACUGGGGCGGUCGCCUCCUAAAAUGUAACGGAGGCGCGCAAAGGUUCCCUCAGCACGGUUGGAAAUCGUGCGUAGAGCGCAAAAGCAUAAGGGAGCUUGACUGCGAGACUGACAAGUCGAGCAGGGACGAAAGUCGGCUUUAGUGAUCCGGCGGUUAAGAGUGGAAUUGCCGUCGCUCAACGGAUAAAAGGUACUCCGGGGAUAACAGGCUUAUCCUCCCCAAGAGUCCACAUCGACGGGAGGGUUUGGCACCUCGAUGUCGGCUCGUCGCAUCCUGGGGCUGAAGCAGGUCCCAAGGGUUGGGCUGUUCGCCCAUUAAAGCGGUACGCGAGCUGGGUUCAGAACGUCGUGAGACAGUUCGGUCCCUAUCCGCCAUGGGCGCUGGGAGCUUGAGAGGAGUCGUCUCUAGUACGAGAGGACCGAGAUGAACAGGCCUCUGGUGUAUCAGUUGUCGUGCCAACGGCACUGCUGAUUAGCUACGCCUGGACGGGAUAACCGCUGAAAGCAUCUAAGCGGGAAGCCCACCUCAAGAUGAGGCUCCCCAUCACUUCGAGUGAGUAAGGGCCGUGGAAGACCACCACGUCGAUAGGCGGGCGGUGUAAGCACAGCAAUGUGUUCAGCUGACCCGUACUAAUUGCCCGAGGUCUUGAUUUU